AGAGGAGCCAGAUCAGCAGACAGGAAGUGAGGUCAAUGUCAAGUUUCCAAGCCAGGAACAGGAACUCUGGGUACACGGCAGGGUUACUGCUGGGCAAACCCCAACACUGCUUAUUGAAAUGGUCAGAGAGGCCAGUCCCACAACCAUCUCAUCAACUCUCUCUCAGAAUUCUGACACCAUGAACCCCUUCUGCUGGGAAGAGGCUGGAGAGAAAAAGAGAUUAAAGCAAAAAAGAAAAGAAAAAAGCAUAAUUAUUACAUAAUUUUAUUAUAAUGUAUUAUGAACUAUUCAGAGUUCUUUUCUCAAAUUUCCCAAGUUAAGGAUCAAGUUUACUGGCAGAGAUAUAUUUCCCAAAAUAAACCUGGACACUUUCUUUAAAGCUACACUUUCAAGGUUAAUGCUAUGGUGUAUACCUUAGCCUUUUUGGACAUUCACUGCAGAGCUAAUCAGUGGAUCUGUUGUCUCCAGGAAACCAAGAAGGAAAACAAUCAGCUCUGUUCUCCUCUCUGGGCUGGGGGAGUGAGCUAUAAUAAGGGAGCAGAAGAACACAUUGGGAGCCCGCAAGCCCAAACACACAGGUUUGAGAGAGCAUCAUGGAAUUCCUUCCAAGGAUGCAAGAGGAAGAAGAAUCUCUUUCAAUUUCCAGUAGAAUUCAUUGCAGUGAGUUUAUGCCAACAAUUGAUCCCAGCACCUGUGUGCAGGACCUGGUAAAUGACCCCUCAUGUUGCCCUCAAAAAUGGGGGUUUCCCAAAUUGUAUGACCAGGCAUUAUGCUGACUAGGGUCGGAUGAACUGUUCCACUCUGUGGGAAGUCACAGAGAAGAAUGGCCCACUGUCUUCAAGGAGGUGAAUCCAGCUCGUGGUGGGUUUGGUGAGGAGAAAGAUGGGAGUGUAUAGGAAAGAACAUUUGGGCUCUCCUUUUGUUUGGAAAGGAGGGGGAAAUGCCUAUCAUGACCACAGCUGCCUUUCAAAAAGGGGAAGACCUGUAUGAAGGGUCCUUUAAUUCAUAGGAGGUUUAGAGCUAGAUUUGGGGAUAGGGACUAGAGAGGUCUAAAUUCCUUACAUGAUAGAGAAGAAUUUGGAACUUUGAGGUAGAGGAGAGACUACGCAGGAGAGAGUAUGUGGAAGAGACAUGAAAGGAGAAAAACAAGAGAGGAGCUAGUAUGGUGUGAGGUUGGAGUGUUAC
rnacentral:lncRNA from 1 species